rnacentral:tRNA from 1 species
GCAGGAGUGGUGGAAUCGGCAGACACGCUAUCUUGAGGGGGUAGUGAGAAUAUUCUCGUGCGGGUUCAAGUCCCGCCUCCUGCA